UACGGAGGUGGCAAGCGUUGCUCGGAAUCACUGGGCGUAAAGGGCGCGUAGGCGGGGAGGUAAGUCGGGUGUGAAAUCCCUCGGCCCAACCGAGGAACUGCGCCCGAGACUGCUUCUCUUGAGUCCCGGAGAGGAAGAUGGAAUUCCCGGUGUAGCGGUGGAAUGUGUAGAGAUCGGGAGGAACACCGGUGGCGAAGGCGGUCUUCUGGACGGUGACUGACGCUGAGGCACGAAGGUCAGGGGAGCAAACGGG
rnacentral:rRNA from 1 species